AAAGCGACCUCAGCUCAGGCGGGGCUACCCGCUGAGUUUAAGCAUAUCAAUAAGCGGAGGAAAAGAAACUAACAAGGAUUCCCCUAKUA
rnacentral:rRNA from 1 species